UUUGCUUUUGUUUCUUUGACCUAAGUUAAAGAAGUAUUGCUCUCUUUGUAUUGUAAUUUUAUAGGUAACACAGGAAAUCAAGUCUUCUACUGUUAAAAAAUACAGUAUUGUCGUUUACCUUCCAUCAGGAACUGUUGUAUUAUUUAUUGAAGAGCUUUAAUCUUCAGUUCACAGCCUCUUUCUUAACAAAAUAUAACACUUUAGUCCUCAACUGAUGUAAUGCUUUAGGUUAAAUCACACUAAUAAUUCACAUUAUUUAUUAAUUAGUUAGGGAAACUUUGACAAGGCCUUCAAAUUACACUGAUUAAUAUUGCAUAUAGAUUGUUAGGUCAAAUGCCAUUAACACCUUUUUUUAAUAUCUUGUUCACCAGUAAGCCAUUAUUAUAUUUUGUAGCUGUUUAAAGUGUAGAAAGGGGGAAUUUUCAUGAGCUACAGUAUAGAUCAUUAGUUAAUCUUUUUCUAUAUUUCCAGGUGAGACCAAUGGGGAAUUUGUCAAACAACUCCAAAAGAGACCGUUGACAACUUGCCAUCUCUUUCCAGUAAGGCAUCGCUGUCUUGUGAGUUUACCACAAUUACCACUGUCAUCUUUGGAUGUGGGACUGAGCUGGAUUAGUUGUGAGAAUAAUGGCUUCCUCAAGGUCACAUCGAGUGAUGCCUCUGCUGGGUACUGUGGCCAUAUACAGAAUAACAGGAGUGAAUCAUGCCAGAUGAGACUAAACAAAGUUAUGACUUUAAAGUUACUUUUGGAUGAUAAGAUGGGAUAUUCACAUUGUACCAGGCUUAAAGUGUUUCUUUAUAUCCCUUCUUUUCUAAACAGCUGUAUGACACAGAUCUACUGUAAGUCGUAUAGGAAAGUAGAAAGAUGCUUAGUACUUAUUUCCAAAAGACUUUACCCAAAUUUGAAGGUCACACUUUGAAAAUGUGAAGGAAAUUAUUAGUCACUGAGACAUUUCAUUGAAGAAAUGAAAGUUUUACAACACACGCUUUCUUUGAUUUCAAUUGAUUUUGAGUCUCUGUUUUAAUUAUUUGGAUAACAAGGCAUGACCUUACUAAUAGGUUUAAAAUUG
rnacentral:lncRNA from 1 species